rnacentral:rRNA from 1 species
AGAGUUUGAUCAUGGCUCAGGACGAACGCUGGCGGCGUGCUUAACACAUGCAAGUCGAACGGUGACGAUUGGAGCUUGCUCUGAUCUGAUCAGUGGCGAACGGGUGAGUAACACGUGAGUAACCUGCCCCAGACUCUGGGAUAACCCCGGGAAACCGGAGCUAAUACCGGAUACGAAACGGAGCCGCAUGGCUACUGUUUGGAAAGUUUUUCGGCCUGGGAUGGACUCGCGGCCUAUCAGCUUGUUGGUGAGGUAAUGGCUCACCAAGGCGACGACGGGUAGCCGGCCUGAGAGGGCGACCGGCCACACUGGGACUGAGACACGGCCCAGACUCCUACGGGAGGCAGCAGUGGGGAAUAUUGCACAAUGGGCGAAAGCCUGAUGCAGCGACGCCGCGUGAGGGAUGACGGCCUUCGGGUUGUAAACCUCUUUCAGCAGGGAAGAAGCGAAAGUGACGGUACCUGCAGAAGAAGCACCGGCUAACUACGUGCCAGCAGCCGCGGUAAUAC